ensembl:lncRNA
CCGGUUCUCCCUUGGGAAGGAUGCUCCAUUCCUGAUCCCCACCCUCACCUUUGUCAGAAUCUCUUGGGGGAAAGACAUUCAUGCUUGGAAUUUGACAGCUUGAAGAAGCUCUCAGAUCCUCUGCAAUUCAACCUUAACACCAAGCCUACUGUCCAGCCUAGGAGAAAAUGUUCUGAGAGACAGAACUGCUCGGUGCUAGGGCAGGUGUUUGAAGGAUUCUUUGCUGUACUGUGGGUACCUGUCUCAGGGGCAAGACUUCAGCCCUGGUUGCUUGUAUUACCCUGUACACUGGAGAAGUACCUAGGCAAACAAACGCUGAUGGAACAACUCCAGAAAAGAAACUUUGGAAAAGUUCUAAGGGGCCAUGACAGAACUUCUCUGGAUCCUAAAUGUCUGAAAGACUUGGACUGUUACUGAAAGAGCAUGACUUAUGUCCUGGAAUUGAUGAUGCCUUCAUGUAGGAGGAAUAUAAGAGGGCACUAAGGUUAUAGAACAGACGCCGAAAUAGUCACGUCUUCAGUGCUUCCUAGACUCCUACAUUUGCCAUCGUAUGUCUAGUUAGUAUGACUUUUCGUCUUUUUGUAAAAUAGUUUUGUUUAAUACAGAGAUGAUUACAUAAUAAUAGCUAAAAUUACUUGUUCAUAAUAGGUGUUCGAUGA